rnacentral:rRNA from 1 species
GAUGAACGCUGGCGGCGUGCCUAAUACAUGCAAGUCGAACGCAGUGGGGACGGGUGAGUAACACGUGGGUAACCUGCCAUCAGAGGGGGAUAACACUUGGAAACAGGUGCUAAACCGCAUACGGAUGGAUGGACUCGGGGUGCAUUAGCUAGUUGGGGAGGUAACGGCCCACCAAGGCCACGAUGCAUAGCCGGCCUGAGAGGGUGAUCGGCCACACUGGGACUGAGACACGGCCCAGACUCCUACGGGAGGCAGCAGUGGGGAAUCUUCGGCAAUGGACGGAAGUCUGACCGAGCAACGCCGCGUGAGUGAAGAAGGUUUUCGGAUCGUAAAGCUCUGUUGUAAGAGAAGCGGUAUCUUACCAGAAAGGGACGGCUAACUACGUGCCAGCAGCCGCGGUAAUAC